rnacentral:tRNA from 1 species
GGAUUCGUGGUCUAGCGGUAUGACGUUUCCUUCACACGGAAGAGGUCUCGAGUUCGAAUCUCGACGGAUCCA